rnacentral:rRNA from 1 species
GUAGGAAAAUUGAAGAGAUCUGUCCUUAGUACGAGAGGACCGGGAUGGACGAACCUCUGGUGUUCCUGUUGUCGUGCCAACGGCAUCGCAGGGUAGCUAUGUUCGGAAUGGAUAACCACUGAAAGCAUCUAAGUGGGAAGCCAACUCUAAGAUAAGUUUUCCCUGGGGCUUCGGCCCCCUAAAGACUCCUCCGAGACUAGGAGGUUGAUAGGUGGAAUGUGUAAGUGCAGUAAUGCAUUCAGCUAAUCCAUACUAACAGUCGUGAGGCUUUUUUAG